GUGUCAGCAGCCGCGGUAAUACGUAGGGGGCAAGCGUUGUCCGGAAUUAUUGGGCGUAAAGGGCGCGUAGGCGGAUAGUUAAGUCCGGUGUGAAAGAUCAGGGCUCAACCCUGAGAGUGCAUCGGAAACUGGUUAUCUUGAGGACAGGAGAGGAAAGUGGAAUUCCACGUGUAGCGGUGAAAUGCGUAGAUAUGUGGAGGAACACCAGUGGCGAAGGCGACUUUCUGGACUGUAACUGACGCUGAGGCGCGAAAGCGUGGGGAGCAAACAGGAUUAGAAACCCCUGUAGUCC
rnacentral:rRNA from 1 species